AUUGAACGCUGGCGGCAUGCUUUACACAUGCAAGUCGAACGGCAGCGCGGGCUUCGGCCUGGCGGCGAGUGGCGAACGGGUGAGUAAUACAUCGGAACGUGCCCAGUAGUGGGGGAUAGCUCGGCGAAAGCCGGAUUAAUCCCGCAUACGAUCUGAGGGUGAAAGCGGGGGAUCUUCGGACAUCGCGCUAUUGGAGUGGCCGAUGGCAGAUUAGCUAGUUGGUGGGGUAAAGGCCUACCAAGGCGACGAUCUGUAGCUGGUCUGAGAGGACGACCAGCCACACGGGGACUGAGACACGGCCCAGACUCCUACGGGAGGCGGCAGUGGGGAAUUUUGGACAAUGGGCGAAAGCCUGAUCCAGCAAUGCCGCGUGUGGGAUGAAGGCCUUCGGGUUGUAAAGCACUUUUGGCGGGAACGAAAAGGACUGUGCCAAUACCACGGUUCGAUGACGGUACCCGCAGAAUAAGCACCGGCUAACUACGUG
rnacentral:rRNA from 1 species